rnacentral:rRNA from 1 species
AGAACGAACGCUGGCGGCAUGCCUAAUACAUGCAAGUCGAACGAACUCUUCGGAGUUAGUGGCGCACGGGUGCGUAACGCGUGGGAAUCUGCCCUUGGGUUCGGAAUAACAGUUGGAAACGACUGCUAAUACCGGAUGAUGACGAAAGUCCAAAGAUUUAUCGCCCAGGGGUGAGCCCGCGUAGGAUUAGCUAGUUGGUGAGGUAAAGGCUCACCAAGGCGACGAUCCUUAGCUGGUCUGAGAGGAUGAUCAGCCACACUGGGACUGAGACACGGCCCAGACUCCUACGGGAGGCAGCAGUAGGGAAUAUGGACAAUGGGCGAAAGCCUGAAUCCGAAGCAAAUGACCGCGUGAAGUGAUGAAGGCCUUAGGGUUGUAAAAGUUCUUUCACCGGGGUACGAGUAAUGACGGUACCCGGAGAAGAAGCCCCGGAUAACUUCGACGCCAGCAGCCGAC